ACCAUCACAGUCUGUCCAGUUCGACAAGCCCAACCGUCUGGUUCGUAUUCUCUGGCGAAAGAGUGCUCACGUAUCAAAUAAGCCCGUCAUUUCCCGUCAUUUUUACUGAUUGCAGUCAGCACAUUAUACUAACUAAAUCAGAACAUUGGUCAAUGACGCAAAAUGCCGAAUACAACUGGUUCAACAAAGUCUAUCGAUUAUCGUGAUGAGAAACCCCAAGAAAGGUGUGGAGAACCUUUGAUGAAAGGAAGACAUUCAAAAGAUGUAGAUAAUAUAGCACCGGACGGAACGUCAUUUGCCGAUCCAUCAAUCGAGCAUUUUUUCCUGCCAAAAAGUGGGAAUCGAUCAAAAGUCGAUAACGGAUCGACGAAAAAGAAACGAUGGGCAAAAAUUAAAGGGGCGUGCACUAUGCAAUUACUUCGUCGCCGUUUACCCAUCGUGCAAUGGCUGCCAAGUUACAAUUGGAGCUACGCCGUUUUCGACCUUAUUGCUGGCAUAACUGUUGGUUUGACGAUAAUCCCGCAAUCGAUCGCAUAUGCUGGCGUUGCUGGACUUCCUCUGGAGUAUGGCCUCUAUUCCUCUUUUAUGGGCAUGUUUGCAUACACGGUGUUUGGCUCUGUAAAAGAAUCGUCGAUAGGACCAACGGCCGUCAUGGCCCUUAUGACAUUCUCGUAUGCCAACGAAGGCGGGGCUGCUUACGCAGCUCUUUUGUCAUUUUUGGCCGGAAUAAUUGAACUUUGUGCCGGCUUGCUUAAUCUAGGAUUUCUGGUCGAGUUUAUAUCAGCUCCAGUGAUCUCUGGCUUUUGUUCGGCGGCCGCAUUGACUGUCGCCUCAACGCAGGUGAAAGGCCUUUUCGGAUUGAAAUUUAGCGGGUCUUCAUUCGUCGAAAUCUGGACCGGAUUCUUUACAAAUCUUUCUAAGAUCAAUCCAUGGGACGCCGGAUUAGGUUGUUCAUCAAUCGUCGUCCUACUUUUGUUACGGAAACUGAAUUCAUUGAAAAAUCUUGGAUCCUUGAAGAAAGUGGUUUGUCUCCGUAAUCGAUUUGUUGAUGGCGCUCUUUGGUUCAUUUCAACUAGCAGGAAUGCAAUUGCCGUCAUAGGUGGUUGCGUUGCUGCCUACCUGUUGGAGACAAAUGGCCUAACUCCGUUCACUCUCACAGGUAACAUCAAGGCUGGCCUACCUUCGUUUGAAAUGCCACCGUUCUCGAUCAACAAGACAGACGGGGAAGAUGGCAAUAGCACGAUUUUCUUAACGUUUCCUGAGAUAUGUUCGGAACUUGGAGCUGCAAUUGGUCUCAUCCCACUCAUUGCCAUUUUAGAACAAGUUGCCAUUGCCAAGGCUUUCGCUUGUGGUAAACAAACCGACUCGACACAGGAAAUGAUUGCUCUCGGUUUUGGAAAUAUCCUGGGCUCUUUUUUCGGUGCUAUGCCCAUCACCUCCUCUUUUGGGCGGAGCUCUGUUCAAUCCGCAAGUGGAGUUAAAACGCCACUAUCCAACAUUUAUGGAGGCAUUCUGGUUCUGUUGGCUUUGGGCUUUAUGAUGCCCUCACUGGCCUACAUCCCGAAAGCGAUUCUUGCUUCUGUCAUCAUCACGUCCGUCAUCUUUAUGGUAGAACUGGAAGAGCUGAAGCCCAUGUGGAAAAGCAGACGUAUAUUUAUCCGGACGGUUUUCAUCCGGAUUGGAAUUAGUUCCAUUCGGUGUCACGUUCUUUUGUUGUCUCUUUGUCAACAUGGAGUACGGCAUUUUGAUCGGAGCCGCAGUUCAUUUGUUCUUGUUGGCUUACAUGGCCGGAAGUCGUCCUCAUCCGGAAUUGAUACGAAUACCAGGAAACAAGAAGACUGCAGAAAAAGUCAUUGUUAAGGCUGAUACUAAUUUGUAUUUUCCGGGAGUGGAAAAGUUCCGCCAAGUUCUGAACGAAGCCACCGAUGGAGAAACGUGUGUGAUGGUCGAUCUGUCACACGUAACCGAGAUCGACUACACGGCACUCAAAAUGCUCAAAUCUGUGGCUUCCGAUUACCACAAGAGAGGCCUAAUGGUUCUCCAUUUCACGAACGCAUCUCCUAAAGUGACGAAAUCGAUUUCAUCCGCCUUGCAUUCAGCUGACAUUGACUUCUUAAUACCCAAU
rnacentral:misc_RNA from 1 species